GGUAAAAUGGCUGAUUUAGGUGAUGGAUUGUAAAUCUAUUUAUGAGUGUUAACUCUUUUACCA
rnacentral:tRNA from 1 species